rnacentral:tRNA from 1 species
GUCUCAGUAGUCUAAAAGUUUAGGACACUUGCACGGAAUGCAAGAGAUCCGGGUUCAAUUCCCGGCCGAAGUA